rnacentral:rRNA from 1 species
GAUGAACGCUGGCGGCGUGCCUAAUACAUGCAAGUCGAGCGAACAGACGAGGAGCUUGCUCCUCUGACGUUAGCGGCGGACGGGUGAGUAACACGUGGAUAACCUACCUAUAAGACUGGGAUAACUUCGGGAAACCGGAGCUAAUACCGGAUAAUAUAUUGAACCGCAUGGUUCAAUAGUGAAAGACGGUUUUGCUGUCACUUAUAGAUGGAUCCGCGCCGCAUUAGCUAGUUGGUAAGGUAACGGCUUACCAAGGCAACGAUGCGUAGCCGACCUGAGAGGGUGAUCGGCCACACUGGAACUGAGACACGGUCCAGACUCCUAUGGGAGGCAGCAGUAGGGAAUCUUCCGCAAUGGGCGAAAGCCUGACGGAGCAACGCCGCGUGAGUGAUGAAGGUCUUCGGAUCGUAAAACUCUGUUAUUAGGGAAGAACAAAUGUGUAAGUAACUAUGCACGUCUUGACGGUACCUAAUCAGAAAGCAACGGCUAACUACGUG